AUGACGUUUGAAAAGGGAUACCAACGAAAUGCUGAAACAAGAGAGGGGAUUGAUAGAGACAAAGAUACAAAAUCCAAGGUGACCCUGCUGGAAGGUGACCAUGUUAGGUUCAAUAUUUCAACAGACCGACGUGACAAAUUAGAACAAGCAAGCAAUAUAGAAGUUCUGUUAAAUACAUUUCAGUCACUGAUGAGGCCUGAGACAGGGGUGUGAUUGCUGCCAUGAGAGAUGGCUCAAGUGUGUGGAUCGUGCUCAUAUGUUCUUCUACUUCAGUGAAAUUCUGGAUGGCAACCAGCUCCAUGUUGCAGAUGAAGUGGAGUUUACUGUGGUUCCUUUUAAGCUCUCUGCGCAAACAAAUCAUGAGAUUAGGAUUAAAAGCCUUGCCAAGGCCACAGUUUCAUUUUAUUCCCAUUCAGACCACCGUUUGGGCAUGGUAGAAAAAGAAGUCAGUUUUCCCAACCCUAAAACCACUACCCUAAAUAAAGGCAAAGAGAAGGAGGCGGAGGGUGGCAUUAUUGCUUAUGAUGAGUCUGGGAUGAAACCGACUAUUGCUUUUCAAGCCAAGGAUGUGGAAGGAUCUGCUUCUCCUCAAACGGGAGAUAAGCUUGAAUUUACUAUUAGUGACAAACAGAGGCCUGGACAGCAGGUUGCAACCUGUGUGUGACUUUUAGGUCUUAAUUCUAACUCGAAGAGGCUCCCGGGCUAUGUAGCAACUCUGAAGAAUAAUUUUGGAUUUGUUGAAACAGCCAAUCAUGAUGAGGAAAUCUUUUUCCAUUCCAGUGAGUUCUCUGGUGAUGUUGUUAGCCUGAGACUGGGGAACAUGGUCGAGUAUAGCUUGUCCAAAGGCAAAGGCAACAAAGUCAGUGCAGAAAAAGUGAACAAAACACACUCAGUGAAUGGCAUCACUGAAGAAGCUGAUUCCACCAUUUCCUCUGGCAAAGUCAUUUGCCUGCUGAGGAGUGUUGAUGCAAGACAGACUGAGUACAAGCAAUGACUGAGAUUGUGGAGGAGGGGGAUAUGGAAGGUGAGGCCUAUCCAUUUGGCAUCAUUGGGAUGGCCCACAAAGGGGAUGGCAUGCAGAAAGGGGAGAGCGUCAAGUUCCAAUUGUGUGUCCCUGGCCAAAAUGCACAAACCAUGGCUUCCAACAUCACACCCCUGCAUAGGGCCACAGUGGAAUGUGUGAAAGAUCAGUUUGGCUUCAUUCACUAUGAAGUAGGAGAUAGCAAGAAGCUCUUUUUCCAUGUGAAGGAAGCUCAGGAUGGCAUUGGGCUACAGGCAGGAGAUGAGGUGGAGUUCUCAGUGAUUCUUACUCAGUGCACUGGCAAGUGCAGCGCCUGUAAUGUUUGGUGAGUCUGUGAGGGCCCCAAGGCUGUGGCAGCUUUUCGACCUGACUAGUGGGUCAAUCACUCAAAGAACAUCACCCUGGAUGAUGCCAGUGUUCCUCACCUAAUGGUUCUGCAUCAGUCAAGGGGACCGGAUAACUAAAUGGGGUUUCGUGCAGACAGAUCUGUCAAGCUGGUAACAUUGACUACCCACAUCCACAAAGCAUAUCAUAAAUCUGCUCAGAUCGAGUUGGGGGGAAUCUGGUGGAGGGCUCUGAAUAUCUCCCUCCUCAUCCUUCCCGAAAUCUGGAGUGCUUAA